rnacentral:lncRNA from 1 species
AAACUAUUAGUUUCUAAUAAUUUAUGCUUGUAAAAUUAAAUAGUUAUUUCACAUGGUAAUCAGAACAGAAAAUUAGAAAUUAAGCUAAAUAAUAAUUUUGAAAUUAAGUCAACAAAAUCAUUAAUCUUCUUCUAUUUUUUUGGGAUAAACUUCAAUUACCAUCCCUAUGAUUUUGCACUUUCUCAUUUUAGUAACCCUUUGGUUUAAAGUGUAUCAAGUUAGUAUCAUGUGGUUUUAUUUUUAUUUUUUCGUCAGCUUUUCCAUUAAUAUUUCGUUAAAUUAUAUACAAAAAAAACUUUAGAUACCUUACCUAGCUAGAUUUAUCCAAUAUUCACUUUAAUACUUUUUAGUUUUAACUUUGUUACUGAUUGAAUAAAAAAAAUUAAUAAAAUCGAUAAUAAAAAAGAAAAAAAUAAAACCACAUGACAUGCACUAAAUUGAUACACUUUAAAUCACAUGAUGCUAAAGUAAGAAAGUGUGAAACCACGGGAUGAUAUUUUAAGUUUUUUUUUUUUUUCUUAUUCCAC